GGGGUAUGUUUUGGCUUUUGGUUGUUUGCUUGGUCUUGGUACCGGGUGGGUGGUCAUUAGCCUGAUGUUCUUCGGGGAUGUCAACCGUAAAGGUGCAUGAGUGGUGUUUGGUUUGUUACGGGUGGUUGGAUGUCUGUUUGCGCAGCAACUUCCUCGCGUGCAUACCUUUUCAGUUUUGCUACAAGGCCUUCAAUGGUCUUGUGCAUCCGGUGGGUUUCUGUGUUGCAUACCGAACAAAAGGCAUCGCAAGGCUAUAUCAAUCUUCAUUUCGUAAUGCGUCGCUUGCGUCGUUAAACGAACCUUGAAGCGGUCUCUUUUUUCCAUACUGUUGUUGUCUAUACGAUGAUAGCAUGGCCUUUGGAGCAUCGUUGGUCUCUUGGAUAUGGAACAUGAUGUGGGCUGUAGGUUCUUUUUUGAUCCUAGAUUCGCCCUCGUUUAGCGUUCUCGCUUCUCUAAACGACCGUCUAUCGUGUGUCGGCAUGUUCGUGCAUGAUGGGUUGUGUCGAAGAGGAAUGC
rnacentral:misc_RNA from 1 species